UAACAAACAUUAGGAAGGGGCAAGGGAAAAUAAGGAUAGAAAGCUUGAUGGUGGUAACUGACAAAGUAAUGAGAGGAGAGGGUGGCACCGUAGCAGCAAAGGAAAGGGCAAGGGAUACAAAGAAUUGAAUAGCAAGAGGCAACAACAGAUACAGAUGCAGUGCAUCAAAAUUCAUUCCGUUUCCUUAAACAGCUUUAUCUCUUUCUUUUUAUUCUAACACCAACACGCCAAGCCAUUGUUCAUCCAGUCCAAUCCAAUCCAACCCAACCCAACCCAACCCAACCCAACCCGAUCCAACCGAUCCAUCUUCUUCUUGUUUUAAUUUCUGAAACUCAAACUCAAGCCUUUGUUUCUUGCUUCUGCUGCUGCUGAGAAAUUUUCAAUCAGUGAUUCAUUCAGAGUAUCCCAAGUGUUCAGAUCCUCCCGGGACAGCACGAAGCGAGCGAACCGGAUCGACGGAAUUGUCGCCUGCAUUCUGCAUUGCAUUGCAUUGCUUGCCUCUUGUUGACAUUACAGUUGGAAGAGAUUUGUUUGUAUACAACCAGCAUUCGUCAAGCCUUGGAGGUAUUGAGCUUUAGGGAGAUAAUUAGGUCUGUUUGACAGAUAAUUUCCUUCAUUUCGGUGCUGUGAUUUCAUCUGUGGGGGACCAACGCAUCAGUAAAUGAAUUUUGAUGUUCCUGAAGCAGAUCGCUCAAGACUAGUACUGCUACAGGGUUUUAUUCAUUUGCCAGAUCGCUCGUCAACAAGUUGCGCCAUGGAGAUGAAAACAAAAAACAUUUCUGGUGCCCAAACCCUAGAUCACUCCCAAGGGGAUCAAGGAACGAAGGUAGAGUAUUAUCAUCAGAUUCAGAGACAAGGAAAGGCAAUAGAAUAUCGGCAAACACUAUCUCACGGUGGAGGGGCUGUCAGAAGAAUGCUGCCGGCCAGCUACUUUAGCUUGGAGUCGUUGCUUUUGCUUGUAUGCCUCGCGGCGACUCUGCUCAUCCUUCCUUUGAUAGUUCCGCCGCUACCUCCCCCGCCUUUCAUGCUGCUGUUGCUUCCCAUUGGCAUUCUGGGCGUGCUUAUGAUCUUGGCUUUCAUGCCGUCGAAUGUGAGGGAUUUAACUUAUACAUACGUCUAGCUAAGUAAAAUCGUUUGUCUCGAAGACUUAGAUCUUCACUGUCAUCAUACAAUUUUUGUACUAAACCCAGAUGUUCAAUACAAGAAACAACACUCGUUUUUAUUUCUUU